UACAGAGGUCUCGAGCGUUAGGCGGAAUCACUGGGCUUAAAGCGUGUGUAGGCGGAUCGGUAAGUACCUUGUGAAAUCCCACAGCUUAACUGUGGAACUGCUUGGUAUACUGCCAGUCUUGAGCCAGCUAGGGGCUACCGGAACAAAUGGUGGAGCGGUGAAAUGCAUAGAUAUCAUUUGGAACGCCAAUGGUGAAAACAGGUAGCUGGGGCUGUGCUGACGCUGAGACACGAAAGCCAGGGGAGCAAACGGG
rnacentral:rRNA from 1 species